rnacentral:rRNA from 1 species
CCUACGGGUGGCAGCAGUGGGGAAUAUUGCACAAUGGGGGAAACCCUGAUGCAGCGACGCCGCGUGAGCGAUGAAGUAUUUCGGUAUGUAAAGCUCUAUCAGCAGGGAAGAAAAUGACGGUACCUGACUAAGAAGCACCGGCCAACUUGGAGCCAGCAGCACCGGUAAUACGUAGGGGGCAAGAGUUAUCCGGAUUUACUGGGUGUAAAGGGAGCGUAGACGGCGGUGCAAGCCAGAUGUGAAAGCCCGGGGCUCAACCCCGGGACUGCAUUUGGAACUGUGCUGCUUGAGUGUCGGAGAGGUAUGCGGAAUUCCUGGUGUAGCGGUGAAAUGCGUAGAUAUUAGGAGGAACACCAGUGGCGAAGGCGGCCUGCUGGACGAUGACUGACGUUGAAGCUCGAAAGCGUGGGGAGCGAACAGGAUUAGAUACCCGGGUAGUC